rnacentral:rRNA from 1 species
GACGAACGCUGGCGGCGUGCUUAACACAUGCAAGUCGAACGGAAAGGCCCCUUUGGGGGUACUCGAGUGGCGAACGGGUGAGUAACACGUGAGUAACCUGCCCUUGACUUCGGGAUAACUUCAGGAAACUGGGGCUAAUACCGGAUAGGAAUCCUUGCUGCAUGGUGGGGGUUGGAAAGCUUCGGCGGUUUUGGAUGGACUCGCGGCUUAUCAGCUUGUUGGUGGGGUAGUGGCUUACCAAGGCUUUGACGGGUAGCCGGCCUGAGAGGGCGACCGGCCACAAUGGGACUGAGAUACGGCCCAGACUCCUACGGGAGGCAGCAGUGGGGAAUAUUGCACAAUGGGCGGAAGCCUGAUGCAGCAACGCCGCGUGCGGGAUGACGGCCUUCGGGUUGUAAACCGCUUUCAGCAGGGGCGAAGCUUGUGGUGACGGUACCUGCAGAAGAAGCACCGGCUAACUACGUG